GAAAGCCACAGUUUGUGUGAAUCGCAGAGAGCAAAAUGGCAAACUGAAGACACAAUCUCAUGACAAUAGAGACAUAAUAGACAUCUAUUCACCGAAUAAGUUAAAGAGGAGCUCUUUCUGAGAUGAAGAGAAUUCUCAAUGUCAAGAUUUGAACAAGAAGAGAAUGGAAUACACAAUAUGGACAUCCAUAAAAAUUCAUCAGAGAGCAUUUUACUACUGAGCUGCAAAGGGAAAAACUUAAAAUGGAUAUGAAAAGUGAAGAAAGUGAUCAUAGGAGAAAACCAUUUCAGAUGACAAGAGCACCUCAAAGGCAGCAGCCUCAAGGAGCAGCCAUGGCCCCAGACUUGUCGCACGGAUGCAGAAAACUUAAUGGAGGAGGCUGAGGUCAGAAUGGGAAGAGUUUUUAAAAAAUAAAAAGGGGAGCUAAUAUGUGAGGAACUGAUUGCUGUGCAUUAUUUUCCACUGAACAGACCUUCUUUUAACUUCUAAUCUCAAGCACAUAGCAGCUGUUGUUUUCAUAUUAAAGAUCAGUAAGUGUUUGUUGAAUGAAUGUAUAAAUUCUUCC
rnacentral:lncRNA from 10 species